UUAGACAACAGCGUUUUUUUCCAAAGGGUUGAGCCGUCCCUGAUCAAACCAAACAAGAAGUGCUAUGUAUACUCUGAAUUCAAACGGAAAAGAUAAAAUGUAUACCACUUUAGAUGCACAAAACAAGCAUCCCUCAGUGGACAACAUUAUAUCAUAUAUUAAUUACAAUGUCCCUUGCAUUUACAAAGCAUGAAUAGAUUGGAAAACAAAACAAUAAUACUCCACUAUUUAUUUUUUAAAAAAUAGAAGACAAAACAAAUUUAACAAGCAGCUACCAGCUGUAGAGGUGGAACUUUUCACCAAAAAAUUCAAACAUUAACUAUUUAUACGUAAAUAAAAUCUCGACUUUGUAUGUAUAUAGUCAGAUGAACCUCCUUCCGUCCCCUAGCUGCUAACCAAAGCGAAUACGAAUGCGAAAGGCCAAAAUGAGGAUGGUAAAAAAUACGAAAAAAAGUAACGUAUGAAGGAGAAUGGCUUUGCCAUUAGUAGCAAAGCUGCUGAAUUCAACGUGCCGCUGAUUUCCCGGCAGCUGAAAUAUAAGUCCAGGUGAAAGAAGUACAAACAGAAGAUAACCAAUAAUAAUUGGUGCCCAAUCUAACAUUUUUUCUCACUGCUUUGAUCAAUAUAUAGAGAAAUAUAUACUUCAAUGUUGCAGGGAAAUGUAAACAAGAUUGCACAGUAGUAUUGUUUCAAUUUAAC
rnacentral:lncRNA from 1 species